rnacentral:rRNA from 1 species
CCUACGGGGGGCAGCAGUCGAGAAUCAUUCACAAUGGGGGAAACCCUGAUGGUGCGACGCCGCGUGGGGGAAUGAAGGUCUUCGGAUUGUAAACCCCUGUCAUGUGGGAGCAAAUUAAAAAGAUAGUACCACAAGAGGAAGAGACGGCUAACUCUGUGCCAGCAGCCGCGGUAAUACAGAGGUCUCAAGCGUUGUUCGGAAUCACUGGGCGUAAAGCGUGCGUAGGCUGUUUCGUAAGUCGUGUGUGAAAGGCGCGGGCUCAACCCGCGGACGGCACAUGAUACUGCGAGACUAGAGUAAUGGAGGGGGAACCGGAAUUCUCGGUGUAGCAGUGAAAUGCGUAGAUAUCGAGAGGAACACUCGUGGCGAAGGCGGGUUACUGGACAUUAACUGACGCUGAGGCACGAAGGCCAGGGGAGCGAAAGGGAUUAGAUACCCCAGUAGUC